UAUUGGGCGUAAGCGCGCGCAGGUGGUUCCUUAAGUCUGAUGUGAAAGCCCACGGCUCAACCAUGGAGGGUCAUUGGAAACUGGGGAACUUGAGUGCAGAAGAGGAAAGUGGAAUUCCACGUGUAGCGGUGAAAUGCGUAGAGAUGUGGAGGAACACCAGUGGCGAAGGCGACUUUCUGGUCUGUAACUGACACUGAGGCGCGAAAGCGUGGGGAGCGAACAGGAUUAGAUACCCUGGUAGUCCACGCCGUAAACGAUGAGUGCUAAGUGUUAGAGGGUUUCCGCCCUUUAGUGCUGCAGCUAACGCAUUAAGCACUCCGCCUGGGGAGUACGGCCGCAAGGCUGAAACUCAAAGGAAUUGACGGGGGCCCGCACAAGCUGUGGAGCAUGUGGUUUAAUUCGAAGCAACGCGAAGAACCUUACCAGGUCUUGACAUCCUCUAACAACCCUAGAGAUAGGGCCUUCCCUUUCGGGGGACAGAGUGACAGGUGGUGCAUGGUUGUCGUCAGCUCGUGUCGUGAGAUGUUGGGUUAAGUCCCGCAACGAGCGCAACCCUUGAUCUUAGUUGCCAGCAUUCAGUUGGGCACUCUAAGGUGACUGCCGGUGACAAACCGGAGGAAGGUGGGGAUGACGUCAAAUCAUCAUGCCCCUUAUGACCUGGGCUACACACGUGCUACAAUGGAUGGUACAAAGAGCCCGCAAACCCGCGAGGGCAAGCUAAUCUCAUAAAGCCAUUCUCAGUUCGGAUUGCAGGCUGCAACUCGCCUGCAUGAAGCCGGAAUCGCUAGUAAUCGCGGAUCAGCAUGCCGCGGUGAAUACGUUC
rnacentral:rRNA from 1 species